AUGGAGAUCCUCAAUGAGUUCGGAAAAGCCAUUGGCCUACAUGUCAACCUGGUGAAAUCAACAGCAACACCGGUCAGAUGCGAGAAUUUUGAUCUCGUUGAGAUCCUCGGUAGUUUUGGAGGCUCCAUUACCUUCUUCCCUAUAAAAUACUUAGGCCUCCCCAUGACGACCGUGCGGCUUAGAUUAGUGCACCUGCAGUUCCUCAUCGAUAGAAUUAGAGCUAGGUUAGCAGGAUGGAAAGGUCGGCUGCUCCCUUUUGCCAGUAGAAGAGUGCAGGUCCGGAGCGUCCUCAGCGCGAUGCCCACCUUUGCCCUCUUAGUGCUGCGAGUGCCACCAAAGCUUCUCAAGGAGAUUGACAAGUGCAGGAGGAGAUUCCUUUGGAAGCAGGAGGAGGAAAUAACAGGGGCGAGCUGCAAGGUAAACUAG
rnacentral:rRNA from 1 species